rnacentral:rRNA from 1 species
AAACUGCGAAUGGCUCAUUAAAUCAGUUAUCGUUUAUUUGAUAGUACUUCACUACAUGGACAACUGUGGUAAUUCUAGAGCUAAUACAUGCUAAAAACCCCGACUUCGGAAGGGGUGUAUUUAUUAGAUAAAAAACCAAUGCCCUCCGGGGCUCCUUGGUGAAUCAUAAUAACUUAACGAAUCGCAUGGCCUUGUGCCGGCGAUGGUUCAUUCAAAUUUCUGCCCUAUCAACUUUCGAUGGUAGGAUAGUGGCCUACCAUGGUCUCAACGGGUAACGGGGAAUUAGGGUUCGACUCCGGAGAGGGAGCCUGAGAAACGGCUACCACAUCCAAGGAAGGCAGCAGGCGCGCAAAUUACCCAAUCCCGACACGGGGAGGUAGUGACAAUAAAUACUGAUACAGGGCUCUUUCGGGUCUUGUAAUUGGAAUGAGUACAAUUUAAAUCCCUUAACGAGGAACAAUUGGAGGGCAAGUCUGGUGCCAGCAGCCGCGGUAAUUCCAGCUCCAAUAGCGUAUAUUAAAGUUGUUGCAGUUAAAAAGCUCGUAGUUGAACCUUGGGCCUGGCUGGCCGGUCCGCCUCACCGCGUGUACUGGUCCGGCCGGGCCUUUCCUUCUGGGGAACCGCAUGGCCUUCACUGGCCGUGUCGGGGAACCAGGACUUUUACUUUGAAAAAAUUAGAGUGUUCAAAGCAGGCCUUUGCUCGAAUACAUUAGCAUGGAAUAAUAGAAUAGGACGUGCGGUUCUAUUUUGUUGGUUUCUAGGACCGCCGUAAUGAUUAAUAGGGACAGUCGGGGGCAUCUGUAUUCAAUUGUCAGAGGUGAAAUUCUUGGAUUUAUUGAAGACAAACUACUGCGAAAGCAUUUGCCAAGGAUGUUUUCAUUAAUCAGUGAACGAAAGUUAGGGGAUCGAAGACGAUCAGAUACCGUCGUAGUCUUAACCAUAAACUAUGCCGACUAGGGAUCGGUGGGUGUUAUUAUUUUGACCCCAUCGGCACCUUACGAGAAAUCAAAGUU